GGUUCGACUACCGGCUGGGGGUCUUUCUGCAUGGAGCCUACAUCCACAGAAGAUCUGUGUUUAGUUCUCCAAGAUGUUUGGAACAACCUACCAGUCGAGCUCCUUCAAAAACUGUGCUUUACUGCAAGUGUAACUAGAAGAAUUCAUGCUGUUUUGAAGGAAAAGAGUGGUCAUUUUUUCACACCUGCCUAAAACGUUUGCACAGUAAUAAACCCGAUGCAGACGCAGAGGAGGAAGAUGAAACCGAGGACUGAUCCAACUGUUGCACCAACAAUCACUCCAACCUUAUUGGCUGAAAUCAUGACACAAAUUGAAAACACAGUUUGCUUCAAAACAUCUGCAGUUCAAAUACAGGCUUAUCUGUAGAAGUUUUCCUCACCCUUCACAUCCAGCAUGACCUCAACAGGCUCCAUGAAAACUUCGGGAAUGAGGACCUGACACACAUAGCGGCCGGAGUCAGACUCCUGAGUGUUGUUGAUGUACA